rnacentral:rRNA from 1 species
UGGAAGAGUUUGAUCCUGGCUCAGGAUGAACGCUAGCGGCAGGCCUAACACAUGCAAGUCGAGGGGUAUAGAGAGCUUGCUUUCUAGAGACCGGCGGAUGGGUGAGUAACGCGUAUGCAACCUACCUUUUACAGGGGAAUAGCCCGGAGAAAUUCGGAUUAAUGCUCCAUGGUUUAUAUGAAUGGCAUCGUUUGUAUAAUAAAGAUUUAUCGGUAAAAGAUGGGCAUGCGUAUCAUUAGCUAGUUGGUGUGGUAACGGCAUACCAAGGCUACGAUGAUUAGGGGUCCUGAGAGGGAGAUCCCCCACACUGGUACUGAGACACGGACCAGACUCCUACGGGAGGCAGCAGUGAGGAAUAUUGGUCAAUGGAGGCAACUCUGAACCAGCCAUGCCGCGUGCAGGAUGACGGUCCUAUGGAUUGUAAACUGCUUUUGUACGGGAAGAAAUGUAAUUACGUGUAAUUAUUGACGGUACCG